rfam:Schistosoma mattheei strain Denwood, Zambia genome assembly, scaffold: SMTD_scaffold0003833
AUCCAGCUGACGAGUCUCAGAUACGACGAAACACGUCCUGGAU